GACGAACGCUGGCGGCGUGCUUAACACAUGCAAGUCGAACGGAAAGGCCCUGCUUUUGUGGGGUGCUCGAGUGGCGAACGGGUGAGUAACACGUGCGUAACCUGCCCUUGACUUUGGGAUAACUUCAGGAAACUGGGGCUAAUACCGGAUAGGAGCUCCUGCUGCAUGGUGGGGGUUGGAAAGUUUCGGCGGUUGGGGAUGGACUCGCGGCUUAUCAGCUUGUUGGUGGGGUAGUGGCUUACCAAGGCUUUGACGGGUAGCCGGCCUGAGAGGGUGACCGGCCACAUUGGGACUGAGAUACGGCCCAGACUCCUACGGGAGGCAGCAGUGGGGAAUAUUGCACAAUGGGCGGAAGCCUGAUGCAGCAACGCCGCGUGCGGGAUGACGGCCUUCGGGUUGUAAACCGCUUUCGCCUGUGACGAAGCGUGAGUGACGGUAAUGGGUAAAGAAGCACCGGCUAACUACGU
rnacentral:rRNA from 1 species